AUAUGCAAUAGUGUCUGCUUUUGGUUACUGAUUAUGGGAUGGACCCCUGGGUGGGGCAGUCUCUGGAAGGUCAAUCCUUUCCUUUCCUUUCCUUUUGAUUGUAACUUUCAAAUAUCCUGAUCAUUACAAAUUUAAGAAUCUUUUAAAAAAUUUUGGUUUGUGUGUGUAUGUGUGUGCUCGCUCGUGUGCUCACAUGUAUAUGUAAAUAUGUGCACAUGAAUGCAGGUGCUAACAGUGUCUAGAAGGCAGAUGAGAUUCACAUGUGGUUGCAGUUAAACACAGUUUAACUCUCCUUCUUGGAGACAGGGUGGAGGAGGAAUGGGAUGAGGAACUGUGGGGGGGGUGGUAGACCAGGAGUGGGUACUGACUAGACUGUAAAAAAAAAUAAAAGCAAUAAAAAUUAUUUUUUAAAUAGAUGUUAACUCAAGAAUACUGGAGGGGAGUGUUUGCUAGCUUCAGGGAGGUUUAGAAGUACCCAGUCAUUGAUCUAGUCUAGGCAUAUCAAAAUUAGCUGGCACACUCGUGCAGGAGUGUGUGUAUGUGUGUGUGUGUGUGUGUGUGUGUGUGUGUGUGUGUGUGUGUGUUGGUAACUGGAAACAGGCUUCCAGCUCCUGGGACUCUGACACCCUCUUUUAACCUCAACAAACACUCCCAUUCACAUGCACAUAGUCACACAUACAUAUAUAACAAAUACUAUUUUCAAAAAUAAAUUUUCCUUUAGCUACUAUUAUAAUUGCCUUAUCUUUUCUUCAUUCAGACUCACAUAUUUCUCACAUGUUUGUCUCACUUAUAGCUUAAUAAAUUCUAGAGAUGUUUCUUUAGUUUUCCUUAAAUGGCUAAUUUUGUAAGGACCACUUUGAUUUUGACUGAGCUAGAUAGAGGAUAGAAACUAGCAAACAGAGCAAACUGCUACCUGGUAAUGUUCCCAGGGGCUGUCUAUGUAAGAAGUGUACUUUCUGGGAAACACCCCAAUGUGCAGGUGGUCUAAACUAAAGAUUUCUUGCACCUUAACAAGUGUCUACUUCUGCUUAACAAUGUUUUCUUCUAGGCUGCUGCCACCAAUGGACACUAUACACUUUGAGACAUGGGAGCAAGGCUUAAGAAGAUGAAACACUG
rnacentral:lncRNA from 1 species